UUAAAAGCCAGUGGGAUUAACACGAUUAGUACUACGGGUCCAUUUUGGUGAUUUAUGGACACCCUUGCGGAAGCCUUGGAGACCGGCACCUUGAGUCUUCCUGGUAAACAUAGUGUAUUUAUCCUUUGGUGACAUUUGGGAUUCAGGCUGAUGGUUAGCAACGAAACUUUCAAUUCGUUUGCACGAUUGAUUUUUCUCUUGCAACGCCGUGCGCAAAACAUCUACCACCUCAUCGACGGCACGAAGUCGUUGACGGUGACGAUAUUUUCUUCGCUGGGAUAAUCUCCAAGGUACUUUAUGAACAAGACCGCCAAAGCGAGCCAAAGUCGAGUUAAAUGCACCCAGCAUAUUUUUCGUAUAAAAUCAAAAGGAGAGGAAGAAGGUUGGAUCAAAAAGAGCAAAUAAAAAUUUUUUGUUAAGUUUUUGGGUGAUAGACAAAUUCUGAGUAGUUGAUGGUUUGUCACAAAGUAGUUUACGGCUCCAACGAAACAGCAAAGAU